rnacentral:misc_RNA from 1 species
AAGUCGUAACAAGGUUUCCGUAGGUGAACCUGCGGAAGGAUCAUUAACACGUAUCCAAACGUUAAAACCCCCCCCGUGAACCUUCAUCCUGCUCUUGUAACCCGCGUAGUUCGCAAUCUCUGAUAAAUCAUAGCCCGGAAAGUUGUAGUGAUUCAGAGACCUCUGGCUACGUGCGAACAUUGGAACAGUUACAAUCGAGCGGUAGUUCUAUAGGCAAUGUUUCUCCAAGCAGUCAGUGUCGGAAAGUGUCAUUGAUUGUGCAAGGAUAGCGCUUCUAGGAUUGCUGUAGACCGUACACUCGGGCCUAAUAACCCCACAGUUUAAUGUGAAGCUCAAUGUAAUACAUUGGGUAAAAAAACCGAACAACUGUUAACAAUGGAUAUCUUGGUUCUC